rnacentral:rRNA from 1 species
CGGCGGACGGGUGAUUAAUGCAUAGGAAACUGCCCAGUAGUGGGGGAUAGCCCGGGGAAACCCGGAUUAAUACCGCGUACGCCCUUCGGGGGAAAGCAGGGGAUCUUCGGACCUUGCGCUAUUGGAUGUGCCUAUGUCGGAUUAGCUAGUUGGUGGGGUAAAGGCCUACCAAGGCGACGAUCCGUAGCUGGUCUGAGAGGAUGAUCAGCCACAUCGGGACUGAGACACGGCCCGAACUCCUACGGGAGGCAGCAGUGGGGAAUAUUGGACAAUGGGGGCAACCCUGAUCCAGCCAUGCCGCGUGUGUGAAGAAGGCUUUCGGGUUGUAAAGCACUUUCAGUGAGGAGGAAAACUCUGCGACUAAUACUCGUAGGGCUUGACGUUACUCACAGAAGAAGCACCGGCUAACUCCGUGCCAGCAGCCGCGGUAAUACGGAGGGUGCAAGCGUUAAUCGGAAUUACUGGGCGUAAAGCGCGCGUAGGUGGUUUGAUAAGCGAGAUGUGAAAGCCCCGGGCUUAACCUGGGAACGGCAUUUCGAACUGUCAGGCUAGAGUAUGGUAGAGGGUAGUGGAAUUUCCUGUGUAGCGGUGAAAUGCGUAGAUAUAGG